rnacentral:rRNA from 1 species
UACGAAGGGGGCUAGCGUUGCUCGGAAUCACUGGGCGUAAAGCGCACGUAGGCGGAUCUUUAAGUCAGGGGUGAAAUCCUGGAGCUCAACUCCAGAACUGCCCUUGAUACUGGGGAUCUUGAGUCCGGAAGAGGUGAGUGGAACUCCGAGUGUAGAGGUGAAAUCGUAGAUAUUCGGAAGGAACACCAGUGGCGAAGGCGGCUCACUGGUCCGGUACUGGACGCUGAGGUGCGAAAGCGUGGGGAGCAAACAGGG